CCUACGGGAGGCAGCAGUGGGGAAUAUUGGACAAUGGGCGCAAGCCUGAUCCAGCCAUACCGCGUGGGUGAAGAAGGCCUUCGGGUUGUAAAGCCCUUUUGUUGGGAAAGAAAUCCUAUCGGUUAAUAACCGGUGGGGAUGACGGUACCCAAAGAAUAAGCACCGGCUAACUUCGUGCCAGCAGCCGCGGUAAUACGAAGGGUGCAAGCGUUACUCGGAAUUACUGGGCGUAAAGCGUGCGUAGGUGGUGGUUUAAGUCCGUUGUGAAAGCCCUGGGCUCAACCUGGGAAUUGCAGUGGAUACUGGAUCACUAGAGUGUGGUAGAGGGAUGCGGAAUUUCUGGUGUAGCAGUGAAAUGCGUAGAGAUCAGAAGGAACAUCCGUGGCGAAGGCGGCAUCCUGGGCCAACACUGACACUGAGGCACGAAAGCGUGGGGAGCAAACAGGAUUAGAUACCCUGGUAGUCCACGCCCUAAACGAUGCGAACUGGAUGUUGGGUGCAACUUGGCACCCAGUAUCGAAGCUAACGCGUUAAGUUCGCCGCCUGGGGAGUACGGUCGCAAGACUGAAACUCAAAGGAAUUGACGG
rnacentral:rRNA from 1 species